ACAUACAGUACAGACCAAAAUUUUGGACACACUUUCCCAUUCAUUUGAAUGAGAAGGUGUGUCCAAAAUUUGGUCUGUACUGUAUGU
rnacentral:pre_miRNA from 1 species